GAAAUGCGAUAAUUAAUGUGAAUUGCAGAAUUCAGUGAAUCAUCGAGUCUUUGAACGCACAUUGCACCCCCUGGUAUUCCGGGGGGCAUGCCUGUCCGAGCGUCAUUGCUGCCCUCAAGCACGGCUUGUGUGUUGGGCUUCCGUCCCUGGCAACGGGGACGGGCCCAAAAGGCAGUGGCGGCACCAUGUCUGGUCCUCGAGCGUAUGGGGCUUUGUCACCCGCUCCCGUAGGUCCAGCUGGCAGCUAGCCUCGCAACCAAUCUUUUUAACCAGGUUGACCUCGGAUCAGGUAGGGAUACCCGCUGAACUUAAGC
rnacentral:misc_RNA from 1 species